rnacentral:rRNA from 1 species
AGUGAACGCUGGCGGUAGGCCUAACACAUGCAAGUCGAACGGCAGCACAGUAAGAGCUUGCUCUUACGGGUGGCGAGUGGCGGACGGGUGAGGAAUACAUCGGAAUCUACUUUUUCGUGGGGGAUAACGUAGGGGAACUUACGCUAAUACCGCAUAUGCCCUACGGGUGAAAGCAGGGGAUAUUCGGACCUUGCGCGAUUGAAUGAGCCGAUGUCGGAUUAGCUAGUUGGCGGGGUAAAGGCCCACCAAGGCGACGAUCCGUAGCUGGUCUGAGAGGAUGAUCAGCCACACUGGAACUGAGACACGGUCCAGACUCCUACGGGAGGCAGCAGUGGGGAAUAUUGGACAAUGGGCGCAAGCCUGAUCCAGCCAUACCGCGUGUGUGAAGAAGGCCUUCGGGUUGUAAAGCCCUUUUGUUGGGAAAGAAAAGCAGCAGGUUAAUACCCCGCUGUUCUGACGGUACCCAAAGAAGAAGCACCGGCUAACUUCGUG